GAGUUUGAUCAUGGCUCAGAACGUACGCUGGCGGCACGCCUAACACAUGCAAGUCGAACGAAGUAGCAAUACUUAGUGGCAGACGGGUGAGUAACAUGUAGGUAUCUGCCCUUUGGCCUGGAAUAACACGAGGAAACUUGUGCUAAUACCGGAUAAGUCUUUACAGAGAAAGCUUUAUGCACCAUUGGAUGAGCCCGCACUUGAUUAGUUUGUUGGUGGGGUAAUGGCCUACCAAGACUGUGAUCAAUAGCUGAUUUGAGAGGAUGAUCAGCCACAUUGGGACUGAGACACGGCCCAAACUCCUACGGGAGGCAGCAGUGGGGAAUCUUGCACGAUGGAGGAAACUCUGAUGCAGCGAUGCCGCGUGAGUGAAGAAGGCCCUUGGGUUGUAAAGCUCUUUCGUCGGGGAAGAAAAUAACUGUACCCGAAUAAGAAGGUCCGGCUAACUUCGUGCCAGCAGCCGCGGUAAUACGAAGGGACCUAGCGUAGUUCGGAAUUACUGGGCUUAAAGAGUUCGUAGGUGGUUAAAAUAGUUGGUGGUGAAAUCCCAGAGCUUAACUCUGGAACUGCCAUCAAAACUUUUUAGCUAGAGUAUGAUGGAGGAAAGCAGAAUUUCUAGUGUAGAGGUGAAAUUCGUAGAUAUUAGAAAGAAUACCGAUUGCGAAGGCAGCUUUCUGGAUCAUUACUGACACUGAGGAACGAAAGCAUGGGUAGCGAAGAGGAUUAGAUACCCUCGUAGUCCAUGCCGUAAACGAUGUGUGUUAGACGUUGGAAAUUUAUUUUCAGUGUCGCAGCGAAAGCGAUAAACACACCGCCUGGGGAGUACGACCGCAAGGUUAAAACUCAAAUGAAUUGACGGGGACCCGCACAAGUAGUGGAGCAUGUGGUUUAAUUCGAAGAUACGCGCAGAACCUUACCAACACUUGACAUGUUCGUCGCGACUUUAAGAGAUUAAAGUUUUCGGUUCGGCCGGACGAAACACAGGUGCUGCAUGGCUGUCGUCAGCUCGUGUCGUGAGAUGUUGGGUCAAGUCCCGCAACGAGCGCAACCCUCACUUUUAGUUGCCAUCAUUAAGUUGGGCACUCUGAAAGAACUGCCAGUGAUAAGCUGGAGGAAGGUGGGGAUGACGUCAAGUCCUCAUGGCCCUUACGUGUUGGGCUACACACGUGCUACAAUGGCAUUUACAAUAGGAAGCAAGACGGCGACGCUAAGCAAAUCCUAAAAAAAUGCCUCAGUUCGGAUUGUACUCUGCAACUCGAGUACAUGAAGCUGGAAUUACUAGUAAUCGCGGAUCAGCGCGCCGCGGUGAAUGCGUUCCCGGGUCUUGUACACACCGCCCGUCACACCAUGGGAGUUGGUUCUACCUUAAGGCAAAGCUUAAAACCUUUGACCACGGUAUAGUCAGCGACUGGGGUGAAGUCGUAACAAGGUAACC
rnacentral:rRNA from 1 species